GCCGGGCGUGGUGGCUCAUGCCUGUAAUCCCAACACUUUGGGAGGCCGAGGUGGGUGGAUCACUUGAGGUCAGGAGUUCGAGACCAGCCUGGCCAACAUGGUGAAACCCCAUCUCUA
rnacentral:sRNA from 1 species